ensembl:lncRNA
GUCCCUGCCGUGCCCUCAGGGCUGCGCCCUGGCUGAGGUGAGAGGACGUGUCCCAGCCACCCCGUGCCGCCUGGCUGUGACCUGAGCUGGCGUUAGGCCUUGAGGUGGCGCUGUGAGGGGAUGCGGUGCUGUACUGGGCUGUGCGGCCAUAGCGUGAGGCGGCGCCAUGUUGUCGGGGGGCGCCAUGUCGUGAGGCGGCGCCACGUUGUCCGGGGACGCCAUGAGAUGGUGCCGCGUUGUGAGGUGAGUGUGAGGCGAUGUUGUGUUGUGAAGCUGCGCCGUGUUGUGGGGUGACUGUGAGGCUGCGCCGUGUUUUGAGGGGUCACCACGUUGUGGGGUGAUGCCGUGUCGUGAGGCGGCGCCAUGUUGUCGGGGGGCGCCAUGUCGUGAGGCGGCGCCACGUUGUCCGGGGACGCCAUGAGAUGGUGCUGCGUUGUGAGGUGAGUGUGAGGCGAUGUUGUGUUAUGAGGCUGCGCCGUGUUGUGGGGUGACUCUGUGAGGCAGCACUGUGUUGUGAGGGGUCACCACAUUGUGGGGUGACGCCAUGUUGUGGAGCGAUGCUGUGGGGGGACGCUGUGAGGCGGUGCCAUGUUGUGAAGAGGUGCUGCAAAACUUCUUACAUGAGCAGCAAAGGAUUCUUUUGCCAUGUUACUGCCAAAGCUAUCUAUCUGCUCUUUAAAACAGCAGGGCAGUGGCAUGGGCUGCCCUGGGCCUUGCAGCCCAGCGCACACCUCCAGGCUCCCAAACCCUGCGGGUGCUCUCUCCUAUGGCUGCCCGUUCCCACUACACCUCUCCCUGACGGUGGGGCUCCACCAGCACGAGGCUCCCAAGCAGUGUUCCCCUCCUACCAAGUCUUUUCAUGGCGCUAUGUUUGCUUGCGAGCUCCCCGAAACACAGCCGGCAGAGAAGGCUCCCCCUUCUCCCACAGUGUCUCUGGAUCUCUCAAAUGAGAAAUAAAGCCAUUUGUUUCUAAUUAUAUUUGGCAGUCGCACAGAGAAUUUAGGACUAAAGCACGCUAUUUUCUUGCUCCUGAUUAAAGCACUUGACCUCAAAAGCAAAAGGCAGAGAUUUCAACACACACCCACAAGUAGGCUAGAAACAAACUGCAGAGAAAAGACCAAAAAAAAUGCUUUGCUUAGAUACACAAAAUAAUUCAUUAUGAAACAAAAGGCAGAAUAUGUAGUGCGUAGCUUGAGCUUGCCUAAGGCUCAUCUAACCACCCAAUUACUGCUUUUAAAGCAGAGCGCAUUUACUCCGAUCUAACGCAAACACCACGAGGACCCACAUGCUCCAUUGAGUCUGCAGCACACACGUGACCGAGGCCCUGUUGCUGCCUGCAGGAAGAAAGCAGCUACAUGCCGGCAGGAGAGCUGUGGUGGGAGCCCGUGGCAGCGGGCAUGGGAGCUGCUUUAUCGUCAUACGUUUUUCCUGUGUUGCUUGGAUGAAAUAGUUCCUGCCCAUCGGAACUUGGGGGCAGUAAACUGGUGGGGGCAUGUUUUCUGUGUGUAUAUAUAUAUUUUGAAAUUGUGGGACUGUUUGUGCAGUUAUUUGGGCCUCCUGAGCUCAGGAGCUCAGGAAACGCCUCAUGUUUCCCCACGGCCUUCCCUUAUACCCCAUCACAGCAUAAGGUGCAGCGUUGCUCAUCCCAGGGCAUGAGGGCCCCUUCCAUUUCCUUUCCCCAUCCGUCUGGUCCUGUGCUGGGCAGCAGGAUGCCCAGUUCAGGAGCAGUCCCUCAGACGCUCCCGAGGGCAGGGAUACCAGCCAGCUCCUCUGUGGCCAUGCGGCCAGCUCAGCUUUCAGCUCCCGUGUUUGCUGUUUGCCCGCUUGCUAACAGCACAGGGAUGUGUCGCAACUGCGGAACAGUCAGCUGGCGCCCAACCAAGAGAAAUAGCACUGAUCUUGAUGGCACUUUUUAAAAUAGCAGAGAAACCAGCUCAAACAGAAAUUAACUACCCUGCGAGGUUCUGUGGUCCAUAAAAUUCUUCCCCAGGCUCCACGGUUUUAAAAUAAC